CCUCCUUGAGAGUGGCGAACGGGUGAGUAAUGCAUCGGAACGUGCCCAGUCGUGGGGGAUAGCCCGGGGAAACCCGGAUUAAUACCGCAUACGACCUGAGGGUGAAAGCGGGGGACCGAAAGGCCUCGCGCGAUUGGAGCGGCCGAUGUCGGAUUAGGUAGUUGGUGGGGUAAAGGCCUACCAAGCCUGCGAUCCGUAGCUGGUCUGAGAGGACGACCAGCCACACUGGGACUGAGACACGGCCCAGACUCCUACGGGAGGCAGCAGUGGGGAAUUUUGGACAAUGGGGGCAACCCUGAUCCAGCCAUGCCGCGUGCGGGAAGAAGGCCUUCGGGUUGUAAACCGCUUUUGUCAGGGAAGAAAUGUCCUGGGUUAAUAACCUGGGGGGAUGACGGUACCUGAAGAAUAAGCACCGGCUAACUACGUGCCAGCAGCCGCGGUAAUACGUAGGGUGCGAGCGUUAAUCGGAAUUACUGGGCGUAAAGCGUGCGCAGGCGGUCAUA
rnacentral:rRNA from 1 species